CCUACGGGCGGCAGCAGUGAGGAAUAUUGGUCCAUGGACGAGAGUCUGAACCAGCCAAGUAGCGUGAAGGAUGACUGCCCUAUGGGUUGUAAACUUCUUUUAUAUGGGAAUAACAUGUUCCACGUGUGGGAUUUUGUAUGUACCAUAUGACUCAGGAUCGGCUAACUCCGUGCCAGCAGCCGCGGUAAUACGGAGGAUCCGAGCGUUAUCCGGAUUUAUUGGGUUUAAAGGGAGCGUAGGUGGAUUGUUAAGUCAGUUGUGAAAGUUUGCGGCUCAACCGUAAAAUUGCAGUUGAAACUGGCAGUCUUGAGUACAGUAGAGGUGGGCGGAAGUCGUGGUGUAGCGGUGAAAUGCUUAGAUAUCACGAAGAACUCCGAUUGCGAAGGCAGUUCACUGGACUGCAACUGACACUGAGGCUCGAAAGUGUGGGUAUCAAACAGGAUUAGAUACCCGAGUAGUC
rnacentral:rRNA from 1 species